rnacentral:lncRNA from 1 species
GAAUUUUUUUUACAAUGAAUUGAAUGAAUAUGACUUAUGAAUUAUAAUAAUAUUAAAAGACUGAUACAUCAGUAUCGUUUGAUGGUAAACAGAACUAACCUAGACCACUGCGUACAACCGUCUCUAUGUAUCAAACAAAUCAUAGGAUACAUGCAUUGAUGGUAGCUCUAGAAUUAAUGGUAUAUUUUCAUCUCUGUGAAGGUGUUUAGAUUUUUAUUAUUUAUGCUCACUUUUUAUUGUUGUCUUUCACAUUAUUUUUUAUUAUUAUUUAAAAAAGGGGAAAUUCGAUAGAGUUUCGAUGGACAUAAAUUUUACUCGGCAACGAAAGUUGAAUAUGACGUUGCGAAGUUGUGCUUUGAUCAUGAUGAUGUCAUUAUAACAAUAAGGGAUCAUGUAUUAAUAUUAAGAACUUGUGAAUGCAACAUUUAACAUGCUUGUUUUGAAAUGUUAAACUAUCCGACUGCGUCCUUUGCUGACAUAGAUCAUUACCAUAAUUUGAAAUUAAUGUUUGUGCAACCACACUAUAUGCGCCUUUUGAAAAUGACAUACAUAUUACUGUUGU